ensembl:lncRNA
GUUACAUACUGUACUCUACACACUGUGAUUGAAUCAGGACUGAUACUGUAGGUGAUAUACAGUAUUGUUACAUACUGUACUCUACACACUGUGAUUGAAUCAGGACUGAUACUGUAGGUGAUAUACAGUAUUGUUACAUACUGUACUCUACACACUGUGAUUGAAUCAGGACUGAUACUGUAGGUGAUAUACAGUAUUGUUACAUACUGUACUCUACACACUGUGAUUGAAUCAGGACUGAUACUGAAUGUGAAAAUACGUCAUUUUUUCAUGAUACCUUUUAACGGAAGUCUGUUAUUAACAUAACAAUUUUAGCAACCUCUUUAAUCCAAAGUGAUUUCCAGUACAGUGAGUGUAUACAUUUUGAGUUUAGGAUAUGUGACUCCAGCGGGAAUCAAACCCACCACCCUUACAUUGCUAGGACCACGCUGUUAUCAACUAAUCCAAACCGGACCUCAAUUCUCAACCCAGGAAGCACCGUCAAUGUGUUUCACCUUUGCUAGAUUACACGGCACCAGCAACACUGUAUGACUUCUAUGACUACAACAUCAAUUAUUGUAACUUUAGUGACCCAGGUCAGAUGUACAACAAUGGAACCAUUUUAUCCAAACACAUCAGAAUGUUUGCUGAACGUUGCUGGAAUGCAGACAUCCAACAUUCUGUUCUCCAGAAUUCUUGAGAGAACAUUGACCCCACUUCAGAAUCUGUAGAAAUAUGUGAUUGUGUGUCAAUGUAUCCUCCUUCUCAAGGCAUUUGCUGUUAUGACACAAUCACCCACAGGGACAACUGUUAACAUCCACUUAAUGUGCAUACGUGUUUGGGUGUGUCCAGUGUGUUGACAUUCUGAACGACAGAAUGCUAUGUUAUGGAGACAAAAGAAAGAGUGUGUGUGUGUGUGUUAGAAUGUGAGCUGUAUUUAGGUCCCUUUCCAAUCUGAUUCAUUCCUUUCCUUGUCCUCUUUCCUUGUCUCCUGUCAUCGGUCCUUUAUAACCACCACAGAUCUGAAAGACCUUGCCAUAUGAAAGCAAUAUGAUGGAAAACCCAUAGAAUGAAAUAGAAGGUAAUGAGUCUCUGUGGGGAAAACAUCCAGGUCUCACGCUGACAUAACAAGGGAAAGGAAACAACAAUAGGAAGCUGUUUGAGAGUCAUUGGGAUUCUGCCUAAAUCAUCGUCUUGACAUGAUGCACUGUGGGCACAAGAGGUCAGAAUCUCACCAGCUGAGAACAUGAUUGGCAGACGAAGCUUAGCGACAACUGACACUCCCUGCCAAUGUAGUUACUCCGGUAACCUUUGACAAUUCCCCUUCUGGCUACGUACACAUAUAAUACGAAUUUGAG